rnacentral:rRNA from 2 species
AACCGCGGUUAGACGAGAGGCCCCAGUUGAUUAACCCACGGCGUAAAGGGUGGUUAUGGGCAACAGACAAUAAAGCUAAAGGGCCCCUCGGCUGUUAUACGCUCCUGGGGAUCCGAGAUCCGCACACGAAAGUAGCUUUAGAAAAUUACCUGAACCCACGAAAGCUAAGGAA